AGAGUUUGAUCCUGGCUCAGAUUGAACGCUGGCGGCGUGCCUAACACAUGCAAGUCGAGCGGUAACAGGUGUAGCAAUACACGCCGACGAGCGGCGAACGGGUGAGUAAUGCUUUGGAAUCUUCCCAGUAGUGGGGAAUAACCAGUCGAAAGAUUGGCUAAUACCGCAUACGUCUGUAAAGGGAAAGCGGGGGCUCGUAAGACCUCGCGCUAUUGGAUGAGCCAAAGUCGGAUUAGCUAGUUGGUGGGGUAAUGGCCUACCAAGGCGACAAUCCGUAGCUGGUCUGAGAGGACGACCAGCCACACCGGAACUGAGACACGGUCCGGACUCCUACGGGAGGCAGCAGUGGGGAAUAUUGGACAAUGGGGGAAACCCUGAUCCAGCGACGCCGCGUGUGUGAAGAAGGCCUGCGGGUUG
rnacentral:rRNA from 1 species